rnacentral:tRNA from 1 species
GGCCCAGUGAUCUAAAGGUUAUGAUGUCCGCCUGUCUAGCGGAAUGUCGGGUUUCGAUUACCCGCUGGGUCGCCA